UUACUGUGAUGAAAAGUUUUCACCAGAACAUUACUUGAAGCAUAAAAAGACGCAGCUUUUUAUGAUUGAUUUAGA